rnacentral:lncRNA from 10 species
GCGGUGUUGCUCGGGGCUGCGAUGCCCCUUAGGUUGCGGGCAACCAGAGGCCUCACUCGUGGGCAGGAAGCAAGGGCGGACCCCGAGAGAUGACUGAUUGUGGGGGUGGGGACCGUCUGCUCCUCCUAAUGGCUGGGGACCGUGCACGUCUGCGCGGGCCGGACCUGCUCUUCUCGGGAACUUGCGCGGGAGGAGGCCCGGAGCUGCGCCGCUUUACCCUCUGCUCCCCGGUGCCUAAAACGCACACGCAUCAAAGUCACAGGACGAGUUAGAGAUACCUUCUCUCAUGAUGGAGACUUUAUCUUUUGCUCCUUGCCUCCCACCCAUAUUGAAGAGACUAUCAGAAAGCAGACAGGAAGCUCCACAGACAGGCGGGGCUGCUUUAACAGUACGCUUUGCUCGAGGGUGAAGAGGGCGAGAACCAGCUAUCAGGAGAAAGGCAGAGGGAGAUUUGAAACACAGAGGAGGUGAUGAGAAGACACAGCAGAAGAUAUCUGAAGACUGGAAAGAAUGCUGCAACCAACAGGAGAAGGAAAAGACAGAAAUGUGUUUUCCAUUUGGAGCAUCCAGAGGGAGCACAACCAUAUCAACACCUUGAUUUUGAUCCAGUGACAUUGAUUUUGGACUUGUGGCCUCCAGAACUUUUAGAGAAUAAAUUUGCAUUGUUUUAAGCCAA